rnacentral:sRNA from 1 species
CAGGAAGAUCCUUAGAACUGAUGAGGACCAAGCUAUAGAGGGUGAUACGGUGUUAUAUCUGAAUGGAUUCAGAUAGAAUGAUCAGAUAUCAAGGCCGUAGAAUGAGCUUAUUGUUUCUGGGCUGGAAAUCUGUAUUGCAUGUAUCAAAUCCUGUCAUUUAUUAAUUUUCCUAUGUUCCUUGUUAUAUUCUUGGUGUUGUUCAACACUAAGCAUUCCUCUGGUAUAACCAACUCUUGCCUGUAUUUAACAUCACACAAGGACUCGUCAUAAGCGCUGCUUGCAUACGAGUAUAAUGGAAGAAUAAUAAUAAUAAUAUAGGGGUCAGGUUACAUCAGGAUGAUUUGCUGGCCUUCAGAAGGUUGGGCCAGCUGCUUACAGAGAGGAGAUUUCACAGAACUGUGUCCUCUCUCUGUAUAUGAAUUGCCAGACCCUAUUUCCGAUGAUGAUUAUUAGUCUUUAGAUGCUCCAACGCAGAUUCCUAGUUAUGUGAUCAGGAGAUUCUUUACAUCAACCACUCAGAUAAGUCUUCCGGAUACACCCAUGCAGUCAGUACCCAAGGGUCUGCUCAGAGUCAGCUUUAGCUCUUAGGUCUAUCAAAACAAUGCAAUGUGAUGCAAUUGCUUUCUUGCUCUCCCCUUUUGUAACUGAUAUCAGCGCAAUGAAACGACGCAAGAAAUGCAAGAUGCACAGGAACAAUUCA